rnacentral:rRNA from 1 species
CCCACGUGCGGCGUGCUUACCAUGCUAGUCGAGCGGACAGGCCCUUCGGGGUACUCGAGCGGCGAACGGGUGAGUAACACGUGAGUAACCUGCCCCUGACUCUGGGAUAAGCCUGGGAAACCGGGUCUAAUACCGGAUACGACCAUUUCUCGCAUGUGAUGGUGGUGGAAAGUUUUUUCGGUUGGGGAUGGGCUCGCGGCCUAUCAGCUUGUUGGUGGGGUGAUGGCCUACCAAGGCGACGACGGGUAGCCGGCCUGAGAGGGCGACCGGCCACACUGGGACUGAGACACGGCCCAGACUCCUACGGGAGGCAGCAGUGGGGAAUAUUGCGCAAUGGGCGGAAGCCUGACGCAGCGACGCCGCGUGGGGGAUGACGGCCUUCGGGUUGUAAACCUCUUUCAGCAGGGACGAAGUUGACGUGUACCUGUAGAAGAAGCGCCGGCUAACUACGUGCCAGCAGCCGCGGUAAUACGUAGGGCGCAAGCGUUGUCCGGAAUUAUUGGGCGUAAAGAGCUCGUAGGUGGCUUGUCGCGUCUGCCGUGAAAGCCCGUGGCUUAACUACGGGUCUGCGGUGGAUACGGGCAGGCUAGAGGCUGGUAGGGGCAAGCGGAAUUCCUGGUGUAGCGGUGAAAUGCGCAGAUAUCAGGAGGAACACCGGUGGCGAAGGCGGCUUGCUGGGCCAGUUCUGACGCUGAGGAGCGAAAGCGUGGGGAGCGAACAGGAUUAGAUACCCUGGUAGUCCACGCUGUAAACGUUGGGCGCUAGGUGUGGGGGUCUUCCACGAUCUCUGUGCCGUAGCUAACGCAUUAAGCGCCCCGCCUGGGGAGUACGGCCGCAAGGCUAACACUCAAAGGAAUUGACGGGGGCCCGCACAAGCGGCGGAGCAUGUUGCUUAAUUCGACGCAACGCGAAGAACCUUACCAAGGUUUGACAUACACCGGAAACAUUCAGAGAUGGGUGCCUCCUUUGGACUGGUGUACAGGUGGUGCAUGGCUGUCGCCAGCUCGUGUCGUGAGAUGUUGGGUUAAGUCCCGCAACGAGCGCAACCCUUGUUCCAUGUUGCCAGCACGCCCUUUGGGGUGGUGGGGACUCUUGGUAUACUGCCGGGUUCACUCGGAAGAAGGGGGGGAAGAUGUCAAUCACCACGCCCCUUAGUCUUGGGUUGAAACCUGCUCAAUGGCCGGUCAGAGGGGUUCGAAACCGUGGGGGGAACGAACCCUUAAGCCCGUUCCCAUCUAAAUUGGGCU